rnacentral:rRNA from 1 species
GAUGAACGCUAGCUACAGGCUUAACACAUGCAAGUCGAGGGGCGAUCGGGAAGGAAAGACUUGCUUUCUUUUGUCCGGCGACCGGCGCACGGGUGAGUAACACGUAUCCAACCUGCCCUUUACUCGGGGAGUAGCCUUUCGUAAGAAAGAUUAAUACCCGACUAGUAUAAUGAUUCCGCAUGGUUUCAUUAUUAAAGGAUUCCGGUAAAGGAUGGGAGUGCGUUCCAUUAGGUUGUUGGUGAGGUAACGGCCCACCAAGCCUUCGAUGGAUAGGGGUUCUGAGAGGAAGGUCCCCCACCAUUGGAACUGAGACACGGUCCAAACUCCUACGGGAGGCAGCAGUGAGGAAUAUUGGUCAAUGGGCGGCUAGCCUGAACCAGCCAAGUAGCGUGAAGGAUGAAGGCUCUAUGGGUCGUAAACUUCUUUAUAUAAGAAUAAAGUGCAGUAUGUAUACUGUUUUGUAUGUAUUAUAUGAAUAAGGAUCGGCUAACUCCGUGCCAGCAGCCGCCGUAAU